rnacentral:lncRNA from 10 species
GCCGGACACGGCGCCGCAGCUCGGCGCGUCCUCCUGCUCGGCCGCCGCCGCCUCCAGCCGAGCAGCCAGCGCCGGGCGGCUCCUGGGGUUAAGUCAACAUUUUCCCGCAGUUUCCCACACGCCGCUCUUCGAGAGAGGUCUUUCACACACACGCACACACCCCCAGACCGCACGCUCCCUUAGGAAAAAAAAAUCGGGAAUCAGAGCGAAAGGGGUGGUGGAAGCAAAAGCCUGACAGAGGUGCGCAGACUUGGGAGUCCCUUCGAAGCGACGGGCGGGAGGGCGCCGGGGGCGCGAGGCCAACUCAGUUUGUCAGGCGAAGCCCCUCAGCCCCCCGAGCGCCCGGCCGGAAUAGCAUCCCUCGCGCCGACCCUGCGGCCUGGGGCGGGAGGCGGCGGCGACCCCUCCUCACAUUUCGGAUCUCCCGGCCGGGGCUGAGCGGUGGCCGCUGCCCCAAGGAAGGCUGGCGGCGCAGACUCGGGCUCGGGGAAGCAAGGAGUAGCCGGGAAGAGCCACGCCACACACAGCAGCGGAGGGGAGAUGCCCCCCAACAAUCCCAAGGAAUUCUCUGUAGUGUCCCUGGCAAUUGUGUGA